AGGACCCAAGACUUUACCAAGAAAAGUCUCCUCUCGUCUUAUAUAUUGGAGAUCAUUUACAGAGCAAUUAUUUGCCAUGAAAGUGGAAUACUCCUUUGUGCCCAAGCACUUUUUAGAGUGCACUCAUGGAUGGGCCCUAACUACACAAGGCACAGACCUGGAUCCUGGGACCAGACUAAAAUUUCAAAACAUCACACCUAUAUCUGUCCAACCCAGCGAAGGAACAAAAGUGCCUCUUGGUCUGUUUAUCCAGAAAACAAGCGGAUUUCCCUUGAUCCUAAAUGCGAUUUGUGCCAACAGUCUCGUCACCGGCCACACUGGACUGAUUGACCCCGGCUACCGGGGUGAAAUCUCUGUUAUCCUGGCAACGGCGGCUCAGAGCACGGUGGAGAUUCAACCGGGCCAAUUGACCAUCUAUAUCCUGCCUGUGAGCUACACGGUUCCUGUCAUAACAGAUGACCACCUCCUAAAGAACCCAGUAUAUGACGAAGAUGCAGGAUUUGAUUUCAGAGCCUCUGAGGACCUGUGUCUGCUACCAAAGACUCGACACACCUUCCAGUUUGAUUUGACCCAUUUAUCUGGCAUUGCUCCAGAAUUUACCCCAGUGGUACUUGGCAGGUCUGGCAUCGCCUGUAGAGGAAUACUAGUGACACCUACCGGUAUCAACAUGGCUGAAAAAUUUUCAUUGACACUCCAUAAUCUGACAACAGAACCCAUAAUUAUCCCUCAAGGCAUCAGAAUAGCCCAAAUAGUAUUUAUUUCUAAAUCUUAUAGUCCCUCCCUGCUGCAGCUGUUAACAAGCAAAGAAUGCUCAAUGGACAUACCGGGUUUAGCUGUUGUACAGUUUAUUAGGGUUCCGCACGAAGCUGCAGACAAGUCUGAAAUUGCUGAAGAAAAGAAUAGGCGAUACAGCAAACAGAGGCCAGGAAAGCCUUCUAGGGAGGGGCGGGGGUUUGGGUCAAGUGGGGUGAAUUAAUAAAACUGCACACAAAAUGAUGUGUGUGACCAGUUUCAAUAAACAGCAUUUGAAAGUUGUGUGGCUUUUUUCAGUGCUAUUUGGUCGGGUGACUCACUUGGGGGCGUGGCCAAAGGUUGGCUAGAUACAAUACCAGCAAUGUCAGUGGCCCAUGCGGCCGUCUCAUCCAGUUUGACUGCUGUGGCUAUUUUCUCCAUCUCGAGAAGAGCCACCGUUUCCUCUGCCCUCUUGUCCAGCAGGGCUGGAAGUGUGGCCUCAUCUACACUUAUUGCCCCAGCAGCCAAUGAUAUCAUUGUGUUCCAAAUUAUGUGUUGGACAGACUUUAAUUUUUCCAAUUGAGAUCUGGUAACAUUUUUACAUUCUUCUGGUAUCUCACCCAAGGUAAAUCUCUUGAUGUGCUCUGUUAAAUUAUUUGCCUGCACGGCCAGAAGAUAGAGUUGCUCCAGGACCUGCUUAUCCUUGGUGCUCCUAAUCAGGUCGGCCGCCAACACCCCCGGGGGCAUACCCAGCCUGAUCUCCAUCUCCAUUCUCUCAUCUGUUUCUACAUCAGCGAGCCUCUUGUAAGGUACACCGGGUUUCCCAAAUGGCCAGAUACCACAGCAAUUCAUGCCUUGUAUCGCCAGAUACUGUCAGGUGUAUAUUUUCUACAGAUAUUGAUGUUAUAGACGCUGUUGUGAAUUUAAUCACACACGAGGGCGCAACUGAAUAUAAAUUCACCUCUUUGAUUCAUGACUGCUUUAGUAUUUCUGGUCUAAAAAACAUCAGCAGCAUCUCUAUGUGCCUACCUCUAAACAGGCCCAAUAAGGAAAAAAAAUACUUUGAACUGUUUAAAGUUGACAUUUCCUGCGAUGAUGCCAAACAGUUUUUGUUUAAUGGCAGGCCUCUAACCAGCGGGCAGGUAGCAUCUUGCCUAGAUUAUUCUCACCUCAAAGCUCAAAUAUUGCCAAUUUUAAAAUUGAUAAUGAGUCUAGAUAACAGAGGGGAGAAAGAGGGCACUUUUCUGGAAAUGGUUAGAUGGUACCAGUCAAAAUUAAUCAAUUUUUUGAGAAAACUGUUAAAGACAACAUCUUCCACACAAUGGUUCAUUACAACCUUUGGACAGGAUGACUUGACCUUUACCCUGGUCAUCGCCUCUUAUUACUUUUAUAAACAUGCUUGUACCGUUGAGACCCUCAUGCACUUGGCUAGACUUUUCUGCGGGGAGCUUGGACACUCUCUCAUUGAUGUGUCCAGUCUUCAGGAACUUGGGCUGUUCUUUUCCUCAAGCUCUAUCCUGGACAGUGUGCCUUUGUUUGCAGAAUAUGUAGAAACUAAACUCAACAUAGACACUCUAGAAAAUGAAAAGAUUGACCAGAUGAUUAAUGAAAUUAGGGGGGGUCUACUGCUGUCUAACAAGGACAUUGUACAAUUUGUGUACCUGGCAUUUUAUGCAUGUUUUAACAAAACUGCCUUCCUGGAAUUUAUUGGAAAGACCUCACCGGACAAUAUCAACACCUACAGUUCUGAAAUUCUUCAUCUGAAACUCUGUGAUGAAUUUUUGGAUAAAAUGUCCAGCUACUAUAACAAGGAAAAAUAUAUUCACACCCAUCUAUUGACAAAGGUUGUCCGUGUACCUGGAGCCAGCUUAGGGUCGUAUGGAGAUACCCCAGGUACUCUCCAGGCCUGGUUUGGACAGACAUCGGACCUGACAGCCUUGUUUGAUUCCAUCAACGAGGAUUUUCCUUUUUAUAGCUCAGAGUCCAGCCUGAAAGAGUUAUUGAAACUAGCAUCCUUAUCUCCACAAGAACUUGAUAACCCAAAGGACAUUCUGUUCCCAGAAAAGCCAAUUUGUCCCACGUACAGAAGUGAAUUUAAAAACAAGACUUAUUUUGUGAUGGUGGCAACAGAUUCUAUAGAAGACUACUGGAAGAAGCACGUCAUUUUCCCCCACUCAAUUAAUUUAGAUGAAUUAACAGACGUGAGAAUCACUGAACUUUUGACCUACUGUGUUAAUGGUUGCACGAGCAACACGGUUGAGGACAAUCUCAUGGUUUCCAGGCACGAAUACUUCAACCCUCAUCUGCCAAUCUAUAAUGUCAUUCUGGAUUUUGAUCUCCCAGUUGAAGUUCCAGGAUAUAAAAUUGAAGACAUAUACAAUCUGUGUCUGCAGAUUCGCCAGGACAUAAUUACUGUCCUCAGCACAAUCCUAAACCUGGAGAUGCCCCCGUCUCAUCCCGUCUAUUUCUUCAAGUCAGAGUGUAACUCUGAUAUAUAUAUGGAACCACGACCAUUUUGUACCUGCAGCAAAAAGAUUGGACUCCGAAUAAUUACACCAUUACCAAUGAGACAUGCUAUAGUUGGAGCAACACCACUAAUAACUCUAGCAAGAGUGAUAAACAGAACUAUCAGACUGAACAAAAGAGUGUGUGAACUAUUCCCCUCAAUCUCUUCAACAGAGUUUUUAUUUGACACGGGUAUCUACAGCCAGGGUCGCUGCAUUCGCCUGCCACACACCUACAAAUUUACAUCUACAGGAUUGCCUGAGAGACUGCUAAAAUUGUUUGUCUGUCACCCAUUUCCAGAUAAGACCUCCUAUGUCAAGAACAGCUUCGUGCUGACAAACCUUUUGUAUCACAGUACCAGUGAGGAUCUAAGAUCUGGAGAUUAUAAUCUAAUAUUGGACAUUCGUGAUAAAGAUGAGGAUUUUUUAUCCUGCAAGACUGUGGCCAGCUUACCAAAAAAUUCUCUAGAUAUUGACAAACUGGAAGAUAUUUUGGGGUGCCCGGUCCAGUCCUGGAUAGACACCACCUUGUGGCCAUUGUUUUGUGAGCAGUUAGUCAAAUAUCUGCCACAGAAAAAUGCAAAUGAACUAAACAACAUUUCAUUUAACGUUGUGUCUAACAACAUGCUACAACUGAAACCUCGCAGAGGUCCAGGCUUCUCCUGUCUGACUCAUCAACACAGAACAAAAUCACAUAAUGUGAGGCUUUUCAUAACCCUGGGAAAGUUCUCACGUGACGUCAUAACUGCAACACUUAUGAGUCAAUGCUUUGCCAAUAAGUGCAACAACAAUAAGCCUGUGACACAUUGCACCGUGCAUGCUCGAGUGUAGAGGACUCUCCGAUCCUGGGCACCAUACAGUACCCACAGCUCGCAGAAUGGCACAGCAGAUGUUGGAGGCGGGCGCGCUGGACCAAAUGAUGGAAGGACUACCAUCUGAUUUUGACUUUGAUACAUCUGAUGAAGAAGGUGAGCUCUCAGAUUCUCCACCAGUUGAGGAGCCAACGGGGCCAGUCCGGGAUGUGGUGUACGAACCUGACCCACUCUUCGACGACCCACCACCAACACCCUCGCCAGACGUCAAGCCACCUUCUCCAAAGGCUAGAAAGCGCGCCCUGUCUCCUGAAAUUGUCCACAACUCUCCUCUGCUUAGAGAUACAACAAAGUAUGAGCCUGCACCCAAAAGAAGCUAUUCUUACCACCCCAGACGCAGUCCACAGAGAGAAAAUGCUAACCAGAAGCAGAAAAGGGGACCAGACUCACGAAGACCAAACAGAUGGAACCAGAAAAGCCAGAAACAAUAUUGGUCCCCCAAACCUCUUCUGGAUUACAGCAAAAUUCCAAGAGCAGAGUACAAAAAUGCCAAACUGUUGGUGCCUACAACUGGUAAACUGCGCCCAGAGUUCUAUACUGAUCGGUUUGUGGAUGCUAUAAUUCAGAACGCUGCCAGAAAUUGUCCAGUGUCUGAAAAGGCGGUAUCACUAAAAAAUAUUGAAGAGUCUUUCAAACUGCUUAACUCUUUCUUUAACAGUGGAAUAAAUAAGGAUCAUUGGCUAUCUACAAGGUAUUUUGCAAUCUUCAACAACGGCCUGGUGGUGCUGACCCACAUGCUAGACGAACAGUUGGCCUGGGCAUAUGCUUGCCUGAAACACGGUAGGGAGUUGCCCACUGACGACAUACUCAUGUCUACUUCAGAAAAAUUGUCCCAACAGCUUGUGAUAAAACUCAUAGAGGUGAUAAAAUGUAUAGAAAAGGAUGGAAUAUUCAGCAGGAUCCUCAAAGGUGUGGCAGAUGCGGUAUGCCUUAAGGCCCAGUUCUUACGUGGUAUGAUCACCCUGAAGAGAACCCCUUGCAGCCUUCCCAUGUAUACCCUGUUUGUUUAUGUACUGACUAUUCCCACUCUGAGAACACGUGUAAUCAGGGACCCUCUGCUGACACAGUGUAAGGAUGUGGUCCUAAAGUAUCAGCCAGGCGACUGUAUAACCCUAUUGAAAGCUGCACUAAAUUGUCAUCAGUGUAACAAAGACUGUGAUAAAUGUAAAUAUAUUUUGGAUCCCCUGUUGGGACAAACACACCGCACCAAGGGGGUAUUUUUUGUGUGUGAAUAAUCAAUAAUAAACACAAUUGAACUGCA
rnacentral:tmRNA from 1 species